GACAGAUAGAAUCUACACAAACAAAAGCUCUCUGAGGCCAACAGUUUUUAAUUGUGUAAAGCGGUCCUGGGACCGGAGUUUGAGAGUGGCUGAUCUAGGCUGCCUCUACAGGGCAGACUGGGGCUCAGAGAAUAAUUGCUGAUGUUGCUUCUUCCUUACCUAUUUUCCCUGAGUGGCAAACCCCCCCCAAAGCCACAGCCUUGGCUAUGGAGCCAGCCUAGAUGUCCUCUUUCUAACUUUUCUAACCAUUUCAGGAGGACCGCCACGGUGAUACUCAGGAGGAAAACUGCCAUCUGCCCAAGGCUUCAGCACCUCAAGCAGCUCCAUGGCCACGGAGAUUUUUUCAAGACCAGCAUUCUCCUACCAGUGAAAGCAGAAUUACAGAAGCAGAAAGCUGGGAGGUUUGGAGUUCAUGGCCUCACCCUGUGACCAGAGAGGUCAGGAGAGGGGGGUGAUGAGGCGAAGGACCAAGGCGGAUGAGAUCUUCCUGCAUGAAGAGGCUUCCCAGUAAUGAGCUUCCUGCUCAUGGUGGAGAAGGCAGAGUGGUGCUGCCAGGUGAGGAAUGAAGGCGGGAUGGGAUUUGCUUGUAAAUCUAUCUGCUGCCAAGUUUUUGACCUCCUCCUUUGAGAAUUCAUUGGUAGCCCGUUGGAUUUCUUUUCUGAGACUGGGUUAUUUCUUGUUCUGGUAUCCCAGAUGUGUUGUAGUUGUCAAUGUUUAUACACUUUCCAGUUCUCGGUAUUAUUGACACCGUUGGGGAAAUAGUUGCUAGCUAAUAACAUUAUCUGUUUCUUCAUUCGUUGUGAAUUCUUCUUUUUCAUGCUCGAUGCAGGUAAGUUCAUGCUCUUCUUUCUUCUUUCAACAUCAGAUUAGCUAGUUGUCUAGACAGUACUGUGCUGGAAUUUCUUUUGAAGAGCUCCUCCCUGUUUUACCGGAUGCUAGGUUGUUGUGCCUUUCAUUUUUAGUCACUUGAUUUUUGAUUUUCAGCAUGUAGAAUAGGGUAGUUAAUGGAGCUUAAUUAAUAUUCUUCCUCUGUUGGGUUUGCUGGUUCUUUAGCUGAAGGCCCAAUUUGUUGCUUUGUUCUUUCUUUUCUUGCUGAGUGUUUAGAGAUGUCAAUUUUCCCCCAAGGAUCGUUUUGGUUGCAUACCCAAACUGUGCUUGUUAUCUUGCUGUAUCAUUGUCGUUAAUGAAAUUUUCUCAUGUCACUGAUUUGUUCUGACCCCCUAAUUCCUUGGGAGUAAGUUCUUUUUAUCUCCAGUUCAUUUGCCGGCUCUCUUUUUGAGACUGGGCAGGCCCUCCUCCCCCCUUGUCCAUCUCUGUAUGGGGAAGAAUGGGAGAGAAUUGGCCAAAGGAAGCGCCCAGGAGUGGAUGUCUUUCCAUGUUCUGAGCUGGGCACAGAUACUACACCAGGAAGGAGCCAGGGCGAAUGGGG
rnacentral:lncRNA from 1 species